GGCCCCGGAAAAUGGUAGAUUAGAAGCAAUGGGAAGUCGCCGGUUCGAAUCCGGCUGGGUCCACCA
rnacentral:tRNA from 1 species